UAAAAAAAAAAAAAAACAGGGAAAGGGAGAGACCUCACUGAUCCAGAGAAGAUGGAGAGGAGGAGGCCCAGUACCAGAAAGCCUCCCGCUUCCUAUCUGGGUAUCCCC
ensembl:misc_RNA